GAGGAAACUGAAGCUGAGAGGG
rnacentral:miRNA from 1 species